rnacentral:piRNA from 1 species
UACUUAGUGAGAGCCCAUUCCCAAAUAAA